rnacentral:rRNA from 1 species
UACAGAGGUCCCAAGCGUUGUUCGGAUUCACUGGGCGUAAAGGGUGCGUAGGCGGUUGGGUAAGUCUGGCGUGAAAUCUCCAAGCUCAACUUGGAAACUGCGUUGGAUACUACCUGACUCGAGGAGUGGAGGGGAGACUGGAAUACUUGGUGUAGCAGUGAAAUGCGUAGAUAUCAAGUGGAACACCAGUGGCGAAGGCGAGUCUCUGGACAUUUCCUGACGCUGAGGCACGAAAGCCAGGGGAGCAAACGGG